ensembl:rRNA 5S_rRNA 5S ribosomal RNA
GUCUAUGGCCAUACCACCCUGAAGGUGCCUGAUCCCGGAAGCUAAGCAGGGUCGGGACGGGUUAGUACUUGGAUGGGAGACCGCCUGAGAAUACCGGCUGCUGUAGGCG